UUCCAUUAGCUGAGGAAAAGAAACCAACAGGGAUUGCCUCAGUAACGGCGAGUGAAGCGGCAAGAGCUCAAAUUUGAAAGCUGGCUCCUUCGGGGUCCGCAUUGUAAUUUGCAGAGGAUGCUUCGGGAGUGGCCCCCAUCUAAGUGCCCUGGAACGGGCCGUCAUAGAGGGUGAGAAUCCCGUCUGGGAUGGGGUGUCCACGCCCGUGUGAAGCUCCUUCGACGAGUCGAGUUGUUUGGGAAUGCAGCUCUAAAUGGGUGGUAAAUUUCAUCUAAAGCUAAAUACUGGCCGGAGACCGAUAGCGCACAAGUAGAGUGAUCGAAAGAUGAAAAGCACUUUGAAAAGAGAGUUAAACAGCACGUGAAAUUGUUGAAAGGGAAGCGCUUGCGACCAGACUCGCCCACGGGGUUCAGCCGGCAUUCGUGCCGGUGUACUUCCCCGCGGGCGGGCCAGCGUCGGUUUGGGCGGCCGGUCAAAGGCCCUCGGAAUGUAACGCCCCCCGGGGCGUCUUAUAGCCGAGGGUGCCAUGCGGCCAGCCCGGACCGAGGAACGCGCUUCGGCUCGGACGCUGGCAUAAUGGUCGUAAGCGACCCGUCUUGAACCC
rnacentral:rRNA from 1 species